rnacentral:rRNA from 1 species
UACGGGGGGGGCAAGCGUUGUUCGGAAUUACUGGGCGUAAAGGGUUCGUAGGUGGCCUGCUAAGUCAAACGUGAAAUCCCUCAGCUUAACUGGGGAACUGCGUCUGAGACUGGUGGGCUUGAGUGCAGGAGAGGAACGCGGAAUUCCAGGUGUAGCGGUGAAAUGCGUAGAUAUCUGGAGGAACACCGGUGGCGGAGGCGGCGUUCUGGACUGCUACUGACACUGAGGAACGAAAGCCAGGGGAGCAAACGGG